rnacentral:rRNA from 1 species
GAUGAACGCUGGCGGCGUGCCUAAUACAUGCAAGUCGAGCGAACGGACGAGAAGCUUGCUUCUCUGAUGUUAGCGGCGGACGGGUGAGUAACACGUGGAUAACCUACCUAUAAGACUGGGAUAACUUCGGGAAACCGGAGCUAAUACCGGAUAAUAUUUUGAACCGCAUGGUUCAAAAGUGAAAGACGGUCUUGCUGUCACUUAUAGAUGGAUCCGCGCUGCAUUAGCUAGUUGGUAAGGUAACGGCUUACCAAGGCAACGAUGCAUAGCCGACCUGAGAGGGUGAUCGGCCACACUGGAACUGAGACACGGUCCAGACUCCUACGGGAGGCAGCAGUAGGGAAUCUUCCGCAAUGGGCGAAAGCCUGACGGAGCAACGCCGCGUGAGUGAUGAAGGUCUUCGGAUCGUAAAACUCUGUUAUUAGGGAAGAACAUAUGUGUAAGUAACUGUGCACAUCUUGACGGUACCUAAUCAGAAAGCCACGGCUAACUACGUGCCAGCAGCCGCGGUAAUACGUAGGUGGCAAGCGUUAUCCGGAAUUAUUGGGCGUAAAGCGCGCGUAGGCGGUUUUUUAAGUCUGAUGUGAAAGCCCACGGCUCACCGUGGAGGGUCAUUGGAAACUGGAAAACUUGAGUGCAGAAGAGGAAAGUGGAAUUCCAUGUGUAGCGGUGAAAUGCGCAGAGAUAUGGAGGAACACCAGUGGCGAAGGCGACUUUCUGGUCUGUAACUGACGCUGAUGUGCGAAAGCGUGGGGAUCAAACAGGAUUAGAUACCCUGGUAGUCCACGCCGUAAACGAUGAGUGCUAAGUGUUAGGGGGUUUCCGCCCCUUAGUGCUGCAGCUAACGCAUUAAGCACUCCGCCUGGGGAGUACGACCGCAAGGUUGAAACUCAAAGGAAUUGACGGGGACCCGCACAAGCGGUGGAGCAUGUGGUUUAAUUCGAAGCAACGCGAAGAACCUUACCAAAUCUUGACAUCCUUUGACAACUCUAGAGAUAGAGCCUUCCCCUUCGGGGGACAAAGUGACAGGUGGUGCAUGGUUGUCGUCAGCUCGUGUCGUGAGAUGUUGGGUUAAGUCCCGCAACGAGCGCAACCCUUAAGCUUAGUUGCCAUCAUUAAGUUGGGCACUCUAAGUUGACUGCCGGUGACAAACCGGAGGAAGGUGGGGAUGACGUCAAAUCAUCAUGCCCCUUAUGAUUUGGGCUACACACGUGCUACAAUGGACAAUACAAAGGGCAGCGAAACCGCGAGGUCAAGCAAAUCCCAUAAAGUUGUUCUCAGUUCGGAUUGUAGUCUGCAACUCGACUACAUGAAGCUGGAAUCGCUAGUGAUCGUAGAUCAGCAUGCUACGGUGAAUACGUUCCCGGGUCU